UACGAAGGGGGCUAGCGUUGCUCGGAAUCACUGGGCGUAAAGCGCACGUAGGCGGCUUUCUAAGUCAGGGGUGAAAUCCUGGAGGCUCAACUCCAGAACUGCCUUUGAUACUGGAGAGCUCGAGUCCGGAAGAGGUGAGUGGAACUCCGAGUGUAGAGGUGAAAUUCGUAGAUAUUCGGAAGAACACCAGUGGCGAAGGCGGCUCACUGGUCCGGUACUGACGCUGAUGUGCGAAAGCGUGGGGAGCAAACAGG
rnacentral:rRNA from 1 species